GAUGAACGCUGGCGGCGUGCCUAAUACAUGCAAGUCGAGCGAACGGACGAGAAGCUUGCUUCUCUGAUGUUAGCGGCGGACGGGUGAGUAACACGUGGAUAACCUACCUAUAAGACUGGGAUAACUUCGGGAAACCGGAGCUAAUACCGGAUAAUAUUUUGAACCGCAUGGUUCAAAAGUGAAAGACGGUCUUGCUGUCACUUAUAGAUGGAUCCGCGCUGCAUUAGCUAGUUGGUAAGGUAACGGCUUACCAAGGCAACGAUGCAUAGCCGACCUGAGAGGGUGAUCGGCCACACUGGAACUGAGACACGGUCCAGACUCCUACGGGAGGCAGCAGUAGGGAAUCUUCCGCAAUGGGCGAAAGCCUGACGGAGCAACGCCGCGUGAGUGAUGAAGGUCUUCGGAUCGUAAAACUCUGUUAUUAGGGAAGAACAUAUGUGUAAGUAACUGUGCGCAUCUUGACGGUACCUAAUCAGAAAGCCACGGCUAACUACGUGCCAGCAGCCGCGGUAAUACGUAGGUGGCAAGCGUUAUCCGGAAUUAUUGGGCGUAAAGCGCGCGUAGGCGGUUUUUUAAGUCUGAUGUGAAAGCCCACGGCUCAACCGUGGAGGGUCAUUGGAAACUGGAAAACUUGAGUGCAGAAGAGGAAAGUGGAAUUCCAUGUGUAGCGGUGAAAUGCGCAGAGAUAUGGAGGAACACCAGUGGCGAAGGCGACUUUCUGGUCUGUAACUGACGCUGAUGUGCGAAAGCGUGGGGAUCAAACAGGAUUAGAUACCCUGGUAGUCCACGCCGUAAACGAUGAGUGCUAAGUGUUAGGGGGUUUCCGCCCCUUAGUGCUGCAGCUAACGCAUUAAGCACUCCGCCUGGGGAGUACGACCGCAAGGUUGAAACUCAAAGGAAUUGACGGGGACCCGCACAAGCGGUGGAGCAUGUGGUUUAAUUCGAAGCAACGCGAAGAACCUUACCAAAUCUUGACAUCCUUUGACAACUCUAGAGAUAGAGCCUCCCCCUUCGGGGGACAAAGUGACAGGUGGUGCAUGGUUGUCGUCAGCUCGUGUCGUGAGAUGUUGGGUUAAGUCCCGCAACGAGCGCAACCCUUAAGCUUAGUUGCCAUCAUUAAGUUGGGCACUCUAAGUUGACUGCCGGUGACAAACCGGAGGAAGGUGGGAUGACGUCAAAUCAUCAUGCCCCUUAUGAUUUGGGCUACACACGUGCUACAAUGGACAAUACAAAGGGCAGCGAAACCGCGAGGUCAAGCAAAUCCCAUAAAGUUGUUCUCAGUUCGGAUUGUAGUCUGCAACUCGACUACAUGAAGCUGGAAUCGCUAGUAAUCGUAGAUCAGCAUGCUACGGUGAAUACGUUCCCGGGUCU
rnacentral:rRNA from 1 species